UCAAGGUGACUAUGUUUACUACACCAAAUCAACACAAGUAGAAUAAUUUAUACUUAUUUUAUACCUCGUUUUUAAAAUUAAAUAUAUGUGUUAAACACUAAAAUAAGAAAAUAUGCGAUUUAUUUAUGAAUAAUUAUAUUAACUUCAAUUAUAAUGUAUUGAUAUUUGAGUUUUUUAAUAUCUAAAAUUCUAAAAUAUAUCGUAUUUAUAUCAUAAUAUGUUGUUUAAGAAAAUUACAAUGAAAAAAAGACAUAAAGAAAAUGACAGUUUUUAUGGACA
rnacentral:lncRNA from 1 species